rnacentral:rRNA from 1 species
AUUGAACGCUGGCGGCAGGCUUAACACAUGCAAGUCGAGCGGGGUGAUGGUGCUUGCACUAUCACUUAGCGGCGGACGGGUGAGUAAUGCUUAGGAAUCUGCCUAUUAGUGGGGGACAACAUCUCGAAAGGGAUGCUAAUACCGCAUACGUCCUACGGGAGAAAGCAGGGGAUCACUUGUGACCUUGCGCUAAUAGAUGAGCCUAAGUCGGAUUAGCUAGUUGGUGGGGUAAAGGCCUACCAAGGCGACGAUCUGUAGCGGGUCUGGGAGGAUGAUCCGCCACACUGGGACUGAGACACGGCCCAGACUCCUACGGGAGGCAGCAGUGGGGAAUAUUGGACAAUGGGGGGAACCCUGAUCCAGCCAUGCCGCGUGUGUGAAGAAGGCCUUAUGGUUGUAAAGCACUUUAAGCGAGGAGGAGGCUCUUUUGGUUAAUACCCAGGAUGAGUGGACGUUACUCGCAGAAUAAGCACCGGCUAACUCUGUGCCAGCCGCCGCCGUAAAAC